rnacentral:rRNA from 1 species
UACGAAGGGGGCUAGCGUUGCUCGGAAUCACUGGGCGUAAAGGGUGCGUAGGCGGGUUUUAAGUCAGGGUGAAAUCCUGGAGCUCAACUCCAGAACUGCCUUUGAUACUGAAGAUCUUGAGUCCGGGAGAGGUGAGUGGAACUGCGAGUGUAGAGGUGAAAUUCGUAGAUAUUCGCAAGAACACCAGUGGCGAAGGCGGCUCACUGGCCCGGUACUGACGCUGAGGCACGAAAGCGUGGGAGCAACAGG